rnacentral:sRNA from 1 species
GCUGAGCAUGGUGGAAUAUGCCUGUAAUCCCAGCAGCUCAGGAGGCUGAGGCAGGAGGAUUGCGGGUUCAAAGCCAUCUUAGCAACUUAGCGAGAUCCUGUCUCUA